AUGACCGACCUGCGGGACGAGGAUUCCGGAUCCUAUUUCUGUGCCCGCUCUGGCUCUGGCCACACCCACUUUGAGGCCCUCGACCAAUCAGGUUUCCCACCCCCAUGUCCCCCUGUCCCCGCAGGGCUCCGGGCGGCCGUGACCCUGCUGGAGUGCGGGGGGGACCUCCAGCCCCCCGGGGGGUCCCUGCGCCUCCUCUGCCGAGGGGCCGGGUUCGAUUUCGGGAGAUUUGGGAUGGGCUGGAUCCGCCAGAGACCCGGGCAGGGGCUGGAGUGCGUCGCAGGGAUCCACAGCGAUGGUUCCUGCACCUACUACGCGCCGUCGGUCAAGGGCCGGGUCACGAUCUCCAGGGACAACGGGCAGAGCUCGGUGACGCUGACCAUGACCGACCUCCGGGACGAGGAUUCCGGCGUCUAUUUCUGUGGGAAAUCUUCUGAUACUGGUGCUGGUGCUGCUGCUGGUAUUGAUGAUGCCCAAGCAGCAGCAGCUCCCUUGGCACAGAAAUAUUUGGCAGAGUCCUCAUCCCUGAGGAUGUCCAUGGUCAGCGUCACCGAGCUCUGCCUGUUGUCCCUGGAGAUCCUGACCCGGCCCUGGAGCGAUGGUGCGUAG